rnacentral:lncRNA from 1 species
AGACGGCUUAACAUUCACCUUCUAAGGUAGAAUCUACAAUGAUCGGUUGUUUGGAACUCUUCCAAUUUACUGAACCACCAUUGCACAUAUUCUGAUGUAGACUUUCUAUCAUCAAUAUGUGUGCAUCCUUCUACCUUCAACUGUUAUCUUCUUCCAAAGACCAAGAACAUGUCCUUAGUCUUCUCAAGUACUUAAGACUAUUCUUCAUAGCUAUCCAGUGCUUCUUGCCUGGAUUUG